AUUCCAUUAUCAGAUAAUCUCUCAGAUAGUGAUGCCUAUAAUAUUGUUUAUAAAGACAUGUCCUUGUCUGUUUUCCUUUCAUCACAGGAUAAUGGAAGUAAACCAAGGAGGUAUAUGUGUGGGAUAUUCGUAGCUACAAAACCUAGUAUUUGUUACUCUUGUUUCCUUUGUAUAGAUUGCCCAAGAUUGUGGUAUCAAACUGGACUUUAACAAUAGAAUACGCCACUGAUCUCUCAGGUUUAUUUAGCUGAAGUGUCAUUUGUCAUGUCUAAACACUGUGCUGGUCUGGCAGUGAAUGAGGCAUUCCAUGUAUUUCCUAUUCUGUCUGGUUGGCUUGCUGCUAAAAAUUCAGAAUAGAGAAGAGAAGACAGUCUUGUGGAGGGUCAAAGGAGCCACUGUUUGUAGUUAUUUGGGAUCUUUGAGGAAACCCCUGCUAAAAUAACUUGAUUGGAGAUUUUCCUUAGUCUGGACCAAACCUUCCCAUUAUUGGACACAGAUGGUCAGCUAGUAAUCAAUCAUCUAUAAUUAUGCUUUGGAAAAACCUCAUGAGCAAAAACCCUCGACUUGUAGUCAAAGCUACAAUUUGACAUUUCCCAGGAUUGGACGAGGCCAGUAAGGUGAAAGAGUAGAGGCCUGAAGAUUCCAGAGAGCUAGUAACAGCAUCAUCACUGAAGUGGUUGAGAUCCACAGUGUGCCAGGAGGUGUUUCUAGAGAGGUACAGUAGAUGGGAAAUGAGAGGACAUGAAUUCAGUAAGCUCCUUAACCUCCUGCCUCAUUUAUCAAAUGGGUCUGAUGAAAGUGAUAUACAUGAAAGCACCUGGCAUAAUAUUGGUCAGAUUGUGGUGCUUGAUGAUGGAAUGGUGCAUAAAUAAAUAAACACGGGCUCUCAAUCAA
rnacentral:lncRNA from 1 species